UUUUGUUGGAGAGUUUGAUCCUGGCUCAGGACGAACGCUGGCGGCGUGCUUAACACAUGCA
rnacentral:rRNA from 1 species